rnacentral:rRNA from 1 species
CAGAGGGGGCAAGCGUUGUUCGGAAUUACUGGGCGUAAAGGGCGCGUAGGCGGCCGGCUAAGUCGAACGUGAAAUCCCCGGGCUCAACCCGGGAACUGCGUCCGAUACUGGCAGGCUUGAAUCCGGGAGAGGGAUGCGGAAUUCCAGGUGUAGCGGUGAAAUGCGUAGAUAUCUGGAGGAACACCGGUGGCGAAGGCGGCAUCCUGGACCGGUAUUGACGCUGAGGCGCGAAAGCCAGGGGAGCAAACGGGAUUAGAUACCCCGGUAGUCCUGGCCCUAAACGAUGAAUGCUUGGUGUGGCGGGUAUCGAUCCCUGCCGUGCCGAAGCUAACGCAUUAAGCAUUCCGCCUGGGGAGUACGGUCGCAAGGCUG